rnacentral:rRNA from 1 species
CGAACGCUGGCGGCGUGCUUACCACAUGCAAGUCGACCGGAAAGGCCCUGCUUUUGUGGGGUGCUCGAGUGGCGAACGGGUGAGUAACACGUGAGUAACCUGCCCUUGACUUUGGGAUAACUUCAGGAAACUGGGGCUAAUACCGGAUAGGAGCUCCUGCUGCAUGGUGGGGGUUGGAAAGUUUCGGCGGUUGGGGAUGGACUCGCGGCUUAUCAGCUUGUUGGUGGGGUAGUGGCUUACCAAGGCUUUGACGGGUAGCCGGCCUGAGAGGGUGACCGGCCACAUUGGGACUGAGAUACGGCCCAGACUCCUACGGGAGGCAGCAGGGGGGAAUAUUGCACAAUGGGCGGAAGCCUGAUGCAGCAACGCCGCGUGCGGGAUGACGGCCUUCGGGUUGUAAACCGCUUUCGCCUGUGACGAAGCGUGAGUGACGGUAAUGGGUAAAGAAGCACCGGCUAACUACGUG